CCUACGGGGGGCAGCAGUGGGGAAUAUUGCACAAUGGGGGAAACCCUGAUGCAGCAACGCCGCGUGAAGGAAGACGGUUUUCGGAUUGUAAACUUCUGUUCUUAGUGAAGAAUAAUGACGGUAGCUAAGGAGCAAGCCACGGCUAACUACGUGCCAGCAGCCGCGGUAAUACGUAGGUGGCAAGCGUUGUCCGGAAUUACUGGGUGUAAAGGGAGCGCAGGCGGGAAGCCAAGUCAGCUGUGAAAACUACGGGCUUAACUUGUAGACUGCAGUUGAAACUGGGGGCCUUGAGUGGGCGAGAAGAAGGCGGAAUGCGUGGUGUAGCGGUGAAAUGCAUAGAUAUCACGCAGAACCCCGAUUGCGAAGGCAGCCUUCCGGCGCCCUACUGACGCUGAGGCACGAAAGUGCGGGGAUCGAACAGGAUUAGAUACCCCUGUAGUC
rnacentral:rRNA from 1 species